rnacentral:sRNA from 1 species
AUGUACCCCGUACACUCUGGUUCCUCCGCGCCGUUCGCACCCACCUGACGACUGC